CUGCCAAUACAUGCAGUCGAGCGGACAGAAGGGAGCUUGCUCCCGGAUGUUAGCGGCGGACGGGUGAGUAACACGUGGGUAACCUGCCUGUAAGACUGGGAUAACUCCGGGAAACCGGAGCUAAUACCGGAUAGUUCCUUGAACCGCAUGGUUCAAGGAUGAAAGACGGUUUCGGCUGUCACUUACAGAUGGACCCGCGGCGCAUUAGCUAGUUGGUGAGGUAACGGCUCACCAAGGCGACGAUGCGUAGCCGACCUGAGAGGGUGAUCGGCCACACUGGGACUGAGACACGGCCCAGACUCCUACGGGAGGCAGCAGUAGGGAAUCUUCCGCAAUGGACGAAAGUCUGACGGAGCAACGCCGCGUGAGUGAUGAAGGUUUUCAGAUCGUAAAGCUCUGUUGUUAGGGAAGAACAAGUGCAACAGUAACUGCUUGCACCUUGACGGGACCUAACCAGAAAGCCACGGCAAACUACGUGCCAUCAACCUCGGUAAUAGGUAGGUGGCAAGCGUUGACCGAAAUUAUUGGGCGAAAAGGGGCUCGCAGGCCCUUUCUUAAGUCUGAUAUUCAAGCCCCCCGCCCUCAACCCGGGGAGGGGUCAUUGGUAAAAAGGGGAAAAUUUGAGUGGCAAAAAAGGGGAGUGAAAUUUC
rnacentral:rRNA from 1 species